rnacentral:rRNA from 1 species
UACGUAGGCAGCGAGCGUUGUUCGGAGUUACUGGGCGUAAAGGGUGCGUAGGCGGUUGUUUAAGUUUGGUGUGAAAUCUCCCGGCUCAACUGGGAGGGUGCGCCGAAUACUGAAUGACUAGAGUGCGGGAGAGGAUAGUGGAAUUCCUGGUGUAGCGGUGAAAUGCGUAGAGAUCGGGAGGAACAUCAGUGGCGAAGGCGGCCAUCUGGGACAACACUGACGCUGAGGCACGAAAGCGUGGGGAGCAAACAGG